UACGGAGGAUGCAAGCGUUAUCCGGAAUCACUGGGCGUAAAGCGUCUUUAGGUGGUUUAUCAAGUCUGCUGUUAAAGCUUGAGGCUUAACCUCAAAAAAGCAGUGGAAACUGAUAGACUAGAGAAUGGUAGGGGCAGAGAGAAUUCUCAGUGUAGCGGUGAAAUGCGUAGAUAUUGAGAAGAAUACCGAUAGCGAAGGCGCUUUGCGGGGCCAUUACUGACAAUCAGAGACGAAAGCUAGGGGAGCAAAUUGG
rnacentral:rRNA from 1 species